AUUGAACGCUGGCGGCAUGCCUUACACAUGCAAGUCGAACGGUAACGGGCCUUCGGGUGCCGACGAGUGGCGAACGGGUGAGUAAUGCAUCGGAACGUACCUUUCAGUGGGGGAUAACGUAGCGAAAGUUACGCUAAUACCGCAUAUUCUGUGAGCAGGAAAGCAGGGGAUCGCAAGACCUUGCGCUGAUUGAGCGGCCGAUGUCAGAUUAGCUAGUUGGUGAGGUAAAGGCUCACCAAGGCGACGAUCUGUAGCGGGUCUGAGAGGAUGAUCCGCCACACUGGAACUGAGACACGGUCCAGACUCCUACGGGAGGCAGCAGUGGGGAAUUUUGGACAAUGGGGGCAACCCUGAUCCAGCCAUGCCGCGUGAGUGAAGAAGGCCUCG
rnacentral:rRNA from 1 species